AAAAAAAUAAGAGUAACCGUCAGGGCGCACGAUCGGAGACCGGAGGCAACGUGGGAGAUAUGGCUCCAUCACUAUUCACCCGUCUCUCAGUUUACGGUUCAUGUAAAAGGAGAAAACUCAGACGGAAGGAGGAGCAGAGCAAACUCAAACCUAGAGGGAGGAAAAGAUUAGUAUCAAAAUCGGUGAUUGUGGAUUCACCUUUCUGAACAAAUCUCUCGCCACCGAUUCUAUUUGGGUUUAAUAAAUCAGGCUUAAUGGCUUCAAAGAAUUUGGAGGUACUUUACAUACUCGGGUAGUUUCUAUACGUCUUGAAGGAAUCGGAAAAUUUUGGUUACAGGUAAAUUAGAUGGGCGAUUUCUGAACAUUGUGACAAAAUGAUGCGUCUAAUGUUAGUUCCAGGUAUUGUUUCUGUUUCAUAUGUGUAUGCAGUUUGGGGGGAAGCAAAUGAACCAAACAGAACUAUGUUUCUCUAUUGAUUAGGUAUGAAUGGAAGAUGUUUUUCAUUGAUGACCGUUGUUAGGCCCUUUCAUGCAUGAUAUCUACCAUAUUCUAAUAGUAGAGAUUUCAUAUUCUUUUGCCUUUUCAACGCACAACUUAUUUUAACUUUUUGGGUGUUAGAGGUGUUGUAUGUUCUGUAAACCAUUAUAUGUACGAUUGAUCUGCAAGUUGUCAGAUCUGUGUUAUCGGUUUCUUAUCUAUUGCCUAUGCUUUAGUUAUGCAUGUUUCCUUUAAAUUUACUUCUGUUCCUGUACUAUGCUUGGUAAUCCACUCAAUUGAAUCCUCAUAAGGCAUCUGUAUCGCUCAUGUUAGUUUUUGGUGGAUCUAACUGACUCUUUGGAGGUGUUUAAGUAAGGUUUUGAUUUCAAUUGCAGUUUAUUACUCAGUCAAUCUGGGCAGAUGUCUUCUUUGCGGUAAUAUCAUAAUAGUGAGAUUUGAAAUCACUGCGUGGUCCCUCUAUCUCAUUCUCAUAUGUGUUCAUUGAAAUUCAUUUUAGUUUUUUAUUAUUAUUAUUUAAAAUUUUUUUUUUAUGAGAUUUGAAUAUACGUGCACAUUCAUGCACCAAUACCAUUACCAGCCGUCGUACAUAUUUAUAUGGGAAUGAGAUAUAGAUAUUCCUCUCAUUCCCCCUCUCUGUUCCUUUACUUUUAUAUAUCAUCAACAUAAUUGCAUUAGAUAUGUCUGUUAAGAAGGCUUUGAACUCUUUUAGGCCCUAAUAUAUCUCAAUAUUUCUCCUGCUUUCUUUUAGUUCUAUCCCUGAUCCUCCUUUCUUUUUUUUUUUUGUUCAAUUUAGGUGCAGAGCCUGUGAGAUUGUAGUACGUUUAAGUUCUUUGGCUUUUGUUCCUGACUAUGAGAAGUAAAGCAAGAUAUAUAUUUCUUGCAGAAGUAUAAAGACAACAGUGUGCACUAGGGAUAUUGAGCGAGGACUAGGAUUAUUGUGGAAAGCAGUUGACUGAAAGGCAAGAGAGAAAAGAAGAUAAGUGAAGUAGGAGGAGACUGUUGGAGUUUAGAGAUAGAGUUUUGAUGGGAAUGUGAUUCAGAUUCCUGUGCUCUUACGGAAAUUAGUCCAAUCAUAGACCUAUAAUAACUCAGCCAGAGUUACGAUUGUCUUUCUGUGUUUGUAAACUUAGAUCAACACAAUUUUGAAUCUUUAUUGUUUCCUCCCAUGGAGGGAAAAAAAAUAGUGAUAUAUAUGUCUCUG